rnacentral:rRNA from 1 species
GACAGAGGAUGCAAGCGUUAUCCGGAAUGAUUGGGCGUAAAGCGUCUGUAGGUGGCUUUUUAAGUCUGCCGUCAAAUCCCAGGGCUUAACCCUGGACAGGCGGUGGAAACUACCAAGCUGGAGUACGGUAGGGGCAGAGGGAAUUUCCGGUGGAGCGGUGAAAUGCGUAGAGAUCGGCAGGAACACCCAGGGGGAAACCAGCCGACUGGGCAAGUGCUGACGCUGAGGUGCGAGAGCGUGGGGAGCGAACCGG